GCUGCAUGGCUGUCGUCAGCUCGUGUCGUGAGAUGUGGUUAAGUCCGCAACGAGCGCAACCCUUGUCUUUAGUUUGCCAUCAUUAAGUUGGGCACUCUAAAGAGACUGCCGGUGGUCAAACCGGAGGAAGGUGGGGAUGACGUCAAGUCCUCAUGGCCUUUAUGACCAGGGCUACACACGUACUACAAUGGCAGGUACAAAGGGCAGCCACUUAGCGAUAAGGCGCGAAUCCCGUAAAACCUGUCUCAGUCCGGAUUGGAGUCUGCAACUCGACUCCAUGAAGUUGGAAUCGCUAGUAAUCGCAGAUCAGCACGCUGCGGUGAAUACGUUCCCGGGCCUU
rnacentral:rRNA from 1 species